GUCGGCCUCGGAGCUGGGCUUCCUGGCGUUGGGGUCGGAGACUGUGUUGUCUUUGCGGUUUUAGUUAGCGAGCAGUUAGGGUGGAGUCGGCGUCGUGGAUUCCGCUCUCAAACCAGCAAGGGGGAUUUGAAUUCGAAAACACUGAGCUUUCCGAGUCGAAAGGUUCCAGGUUUAUUCCGACCUACGGAAGCCCAGGAGGACUAGGAUUACCGCUGCCACGAGGCGCUGUUGGGCACCAUGCUAGCGGUAGAGGUAAAGAUGAGUAAGACGUUGGCCUUGCACGUGAGGAGCUCCUGGUCCAAAGACGACCACAGAGGUAUACUACAAGAAUUGAGAGAGCUAAGGUCACCUCCAGCCUCCGUGGGAUAAAUGCUCUGCUGGAAUUCCCGAGCAGCACAGCCAGCCCCAGUUCUAACUUGGGAACCUGGGGUGAUGAAUGGCAAGAAUGACAGAAAUGAAGACGGCUGCAGCACUAAGGACACCUUUUAACUGUGUCACAUUUGCCUAACUUUGCCUUAAAUGUAUCAUGGUAACUGACAGUUUUGACUGAAAAAUAAAGAUCA